rnacentral:rRNA from 1 species
GACGUAGGGCGCGAGCGUUGUCCGGAUUUAUUGGGCGUAAAGAGCUCGUAGGCGGCUUGUCGCGUCGUUCGUGAAGACCCACAGCUCAACUGUGGGCUUGCGGUCGAUACGGGCAGGCUGGAGUUCGGUAGGGGAGACUGGAAUUCCUGGUGUAGCGGUGAAAUGCGCAGAUAUCAGGAGGAACACCGGUGGCGAAGGCGGGUCUCUGGGCAGUAACUGACGCUGAGGAGCGAAAGCGUGGGGAGCGAACAGG